rnacentral:lncRNA from 1 species
GACUUACUGACCUGACCCCUUCAUCUCCCCAACUCACUGUGCCCCAGGGUAUCUUGGAAAAAUCCCCAAAGAAGAUAUGACAGUUUUGUUUGUGUGGCCUGUGAGCUGGGAUGGGAGCUGAGUCCAGAGUCCAUAAGAGCCCCCACCCACUCUCCUGGGCAGCAACGAAAGACCACCAGGAAUGUCCAACAGGGAAUAGAUUUAUGGCCAAGCUAGGAGGAGCAUCCCUGUGAAGACACCUACGGAGUCGUUUCGACAGGAGAAUUUACAAGCGCCCUCCUUCGCUUGCUACCGAGUGGAAAAAUACACUGAGCCCAGAGCAGUGAACUCCUUGCCAAGGCCUGUGACUCAUCUCCAAGUCAUAAAUAACGGGUCCCUCAUGACAAAGCAGAGAAGGGAGCCGGGCCCAGGGCCACGUAUUUAUUAGAAAAGAGAGUGGAACCAUUAGUCGGGGGCUUGGUUUCCGGAAAACUCAAACCACACCACAUUAGAGAAGGUCAGGAGGCCCUUCCACAGGAAUUCAGACCUGACAUUUUUUUCAUAUGCUCGACCUUUCAUGUGGGGAGGAGACCCCUGCUACAUCCACCAGAGGCAUCUCCCGGCCACCCAGUUCCAUGGGCCAGGAGGAGUCUUGCUGUUUCCCAGGCCCUGGGGGCCACUCCACCAUCCCCUGCCCCUGAUACUUUUGAUGGCGACCAGGGAAGGCAGAACCGCCUGUCUCAGUAGCCCCACUGACAUCAGGAAACGUUUAGUGCCUGAGAAGUGUGACCUCUGACGAGUUAUGACUCCUCCUGAAGCCUCCAUUUCACAAACCUUCCAGGGCCGCUGUCAGAAUGAGGUGGGGGAGUAGACUCAGGACUGUGCAAGCCCAUGGGAUGAGCUCACAGCCAUGAGCGGCAUGGUCUAAGGUUAUAAAGGACUCAGAAUCUAAAGGAUAAUAGAUGCAGAUGGAUGGAACAAUAAAUCGUGUGGACUGUUGAUAAAACCUUUGUGCUUGAAGAAAAUACAACUGUGUGUGGUUCUGAGAAGGCUGAACUCA